GUGCCGCGCUCACGCCCGCUGGAACGCCGGGCAAGCCGAAAUCAUCGCGGCUGACUGGGAGGAGGAGGAGGAGGAGGGAAGCCCUCGGCUGUGCCGUAUGUAGCAGCGGGGUGUGGUGUCUGCAUUGCAGCACAGUCCCCGGGAGGAAUUUUGGCUGACGCAGCCAGAACUGUUCCUGGGGCUGCCGGGGGGGAUGCCGCAAAGUCAGGUUCGGAGCCCAGAAGAAAGGGUGAGCUGCUGUGCGAAGCAACCAGCCUGGCCGAGGGACAGCGAAGAAGGGAGAGAAGGAGGAGGCAGCGGGGUGUCAGCGAGGCUGGGAACACGCUCUGUGGGGAGAGUAGCUCCGUGCCAUGCUUGGCCAAACGUAGAGCUGGCAAAAAAAAAAAGAUAAUGCAAGGACUGAAGCCACUCCUCGAGUUUAUGAUCGGCUGUUACCUGCCUGUGAGCCUACAGCAGCUACUGCUGGGUUAAAGAAUGACUGUGCUAACUGGGAAAGUUAAUGUUUUCACAGCAGUGGAGUGGAGAGACUACGGAGUAUCUCAAGAUCAAGAAAACCUGCCUUUCCCCACCCUAGAAAGUGCGUACGACCGGAUAUACUGCCAAUAACUCACUCCCGCAACUUAAAAAAGCCAAGGUGCCAUAAAGGACACUGUCACACAAAGCUGUCGCAUUGCUACAGCGACUUCCAAGCAGGAGUCCCCAAGUGCCACCAAUUCUCAGCUGCUCUGCAAGAGGCUACAUGACACACAGCCUGUAUUGCGAGCCGUGCCAUGGGACGGAUGUCAGGGAAGGAGCCUGUAAAAGUGCUACAAAUAGCCCGGGCUCUGAGACUCACUUCUGCACUCAGGGAUGGAUUCCUGAAGCAGCAUAGCAAAGAAAUACGUCAGUGCCUUUUCAUGUGAUGUUAUCAGCUCGGGGAGACAGAGACAGGCUGGACAGGCUGGGGAACGGCAGGAAGUGCAGCCAGUAGCUUGUUUGGUUUCCAGGCAGUGGCCUGGUCACUCAGCCCUGGCAGAAAGAAUUAGUCAUGUGCAGAAAGAUGAUGGGAAUGGAAACACGUGCGUGGCUCAGCCAGAGCACAGCAGCUCCAAAAGACAGGCUCAACAUUUCAUUCCCCUGGGUGUAAAAAAGGCUACUGAGAAAUUGAAUGCUGAAGCUAACUUGAGCUGUUUGGUGUUCAUCAGAUCCCAGGCUUGCAAUUAUCUGGGCAACAGAAGGAAAUAUUUUCCCCAUGUUCUGAGCCAUGUUCUACAGGGAAAGCAAGGCAAUGCAGCACUUCUAAGCAUCCCACUCUGACUGAUCUGCAUUAUACCAAGCUGAGCAUGGUCCCAACCCAGUGUGAAAGCAGGUUGAGAUGCCUCAUGAUGGGCACAACAACCAGCAGCAUGCUGAGCAGAGGGAUCCUUCUGCCAGGAAACGGGGAUGUCCUGCCUCCAAGGGCACCUCAGCCUCAGUGUGAUGCAUCAGCAUUCUUUCCAGUCUCAAGGGCCUCUUACAUGCUUUUGGGGAACUGCCUUUCCGGGCUGUGAGGCUGCUCUAUGCCUGCCUAUUUUUUGCUGCAUGUACCAGCAUGCCUCCAUAAGCAAAGGCUCCCCAGAGGUCUCAGACCUGAAAUAAUGUGAAUUGGAACAAAGAAAAAAGGAAGAAUCAACCUGGCAUCUCUUCACUUCUACAUCAAGAGCGCGUUGUUUUCCAAGCUGUUGUUCUUUGUUUUCACUUGACUCCGAGUGAACUGAUUUCUGCCCACACCCAAAAGGAACAAUGCGGGCGUUUGAGACUGCUCCUGACUCUGCAUUGCCUCCAGACUGAACAAACACGUUGCAGAGUGCAGGGAAGUGAUGCAUUCUGCAGUUCUUUGGUAAUCUCACAGAAGGACCAACAUUUAAGAUCCAUACAUAUUUGCAAAAGUCCCAGCAUCCUGGAGCACUGAGAUAACCAGAGAAUAUUGGUCUCUUGGUAUGAACCUUUAAAAUGUCUCCGGAUACAGGAAAGCUGCAGAGAACAGAAGCCCACAGAUUCUGGGGAGCUGCUGUUCUUCAGCAGGACUUUGAGUUUGGUCAUAAAGAGGCCCUGUAAAUGUAACAAAUGGAGAAUUCAUGACAUGUUUGAUUGGUGGUGUCAUUAUGAUUGCAAAACAGGCACUUUGCUGUAGGAGCUGCACCCCUUGGUGUGUGUGUGUCAGCGCCCAGAGGAAGUAACGUGGUGGUCUCUGUAUUCUGCAUUUGCACUGGUGAUCUACAAAUGAAUACAACAUUGCAGUAAAAACAUUAACAGGUACCAUCAAGAAUUUGGGAGGGUGACUAAGAGACCAUGGCAGUGAUACCACAAGGGUGUUUUUUUUUUCAAGCCAGAUGCAUUUAACACAAGUAAAGACGUCAAUUCAUCUAG